rnacentral:lncRNA from 1 species
UUUUUUUGUUCAGAGGAGACCAAGUGGUUUGUGGGGGAACAUGGCAGAGAGGUUUUGGGAAUUUGGCAGAGCAGAGAGCAAGAGAGCAAAUCGUUACUGAAAAAGUGGCAGGCGGAGGUGGCCAAAAGAGAGCAACAAAACAUCAGAGAGGGAUCAUUGUUACGAACACAAGCAAAGAAAACCGAGUUACCGAGGACAGUGUUAUCGUGAGCAUUCAUUCUACAAAGGAGAAUAGGAGCUCCGAGAGCAAUUGGUGGAACUGCACUAGGAAGGAUAAGGAGACCCAUCGGAGCUGCAAGGUUGACGGUAACAGCUGAGUCUUCAAGAGGUGAGUGAUCCAUCCUUACACAUGAGUCUCUUUGUUAUUUACUGUUGCAUUGCUACUCUGAAUGUCAUCAAGCAUCUUUCCCAUUGUAUAUGACUAAGACUUGAAUCCUUCCCCNUCAUCGUUCCUUAUCAUACUCUGCCGUGUUCACUCUUCACUCACGGAGCCAAUAACCGAGCCAAAUAACAACACCCUAUUGCAUCACACUUCUCUUGGCCAUAGCGUAACCACCGCUCCUCCCCCUCCAUUCCCAACGUCCACGACCAAGCUCAAACACACAACACCAAAAAAACACACGCAGGGUUGAUCCUUCCCCUCACACCAUCAUCCCUCAACCUGCAUUAUACAAAAACNACGGAAAGCCAAGCCAAUCACAAAACCAGUAUCACCAGUAUCACUAGUAUCACUUUCCAUUGGUACCAUCAUCCUCACAGAUUCCAGAAACCACAUACAAUAAAAAGAGAGAAUGUAAGGGAGAGGAAAACAGAGUAACAGCUGGUCUCACAAGUUCAAACUCACACNCGCACAAUACAAUGUCGGGAACCCAACACACUUCGGCAAGCAUAGUAGGAAUUUCCAAAUCAUCGCGAACACCCCUAUCCCCACCGGAAACCAAGUCAAAGGUUGAGAAAGGUGAGGCCUCUUCUCUGGUGUGCGUGAGGUUGAGGUGUUGAGAUCCGAGAGAGAAGUUGGGNACGGCGCCGGGGCUGACUUCGAUUCCUGCGGUUUUGGUCGUCGCCGGUGAGGCCAGGUAGAGGUUGCUAUGCCGGUGGCCGGUCGGGAUGAAUCGCGAAGGGGAGCGAUUGUUCCUCUUUCUGCUGGCNCGAAGAAGACGCGUGAGGGCGGUGAUCGUGGCAGCCCUGACGCUAGGAGGAUGGAUGUUGCGGUACGGUGGCUGUCGAGGCGGAGGCGCGGUGACCGUUUCCGGCAGUUGCCGGCGUCGCUAAAAGGGGGAAAACCCCACCCCUGGGACGAGUCGCGAAGAGGAAGGGAGAGGGAGGCCGGCGAUAAGGUCGCUGACCGGACAUUGGCGAGUGCGUCAGCGUCGCCGUGGCUGAUCGACGGGAACAGCGGUGCGGUGGCUGUCGGAGAGGCAUCGGCCGGUGGUGAUGGGAGGUUGCGUGAAUGGUAGAGUGGGAGGCCUCUAGGGUUUUUUGGGAGGGAGAUGUUUAGCCUCUUAGGUUAGGUUCUGGGCGUUUGAAAUGAGAGGCAAUUUGGGAGACCCCUUAGGGUUUCUGAAGUUGGGGAGGGCUUUGNGCCCUUGGGCCAAGCCCGAAGGCCAGCAGUUCACUUCUGCACCCCCCAUGGCUACUAAUUGGCGCCAUUGNAUAAUGGGUUUGAGCUCAUUCAUUCUCUGUACCCCCUUUGCUUCCAUCCGCAACCCCCAUCCCUUUGGGUUCGAGCCCAUUCUGCCAACAAAAAAAAAACGUUUCUGCACCCCCUGUUUCCACUUAGUCGCGCCUCUUUNCACAUGGGCUUAGACCCAGUGUGCUAUUAAACUAAAAUUAGAUCUGCACCCCUGUUUUAUUCAUUUCCACCCUUUUUCUACUUGGGCUUAGGCCCAAUCUGUUAUUAGAGCUAAAUUGGUUUAAGCACUCCUUUUUUUUUUUAUUUAAGUACCUCCCCAUCCUUUCUUAUUAGUUUAUUUCUAUCUAUUUUAUCUAUUAAUUUUUUAUUUUGUUUUCUUUAUUUAUUUUUAUUUGUCUUUUUCUUUCUUUUUUUUCUUUUGCCUCCAUUAAAAUAUAUUCAUUUACCCUUUUUUUUUUAAAUAUACUUUUAUAAAAAUUAAAAAAAAAUUAAAAAAUAUAUUUAAAGGGGUCUAGCACAUGUGUGAUCGUACGCAUCGUCCUUGCGCUAGAAAACCCUUUUCUUUUCUAAAUAAAAAAAUUAAAAAUACCAAAAAUAUAUUUUAAG